rnacentral:rRNA from 1 species
GGACGAACGCUGGCGGCGUGCCUAAUACAUGCAAGUCGAACGGUCUUUCUAUGGAAGCUUGCUUCCACUGAGAAGAUAGUGGCGAACGGGUGAGUAACACGUGGGUAACCUGCCCAUAAGAGGGGGAUAACAUCCGGAAACGGGUGCUAAUACCGCAUAGUUUUCUUGAUCGCAUGAUCGGGAAAGGAAAGACGGCCUUUGUGCUGUCGCUUAUGGAUGGACCCGCGGCGUAUUAGUUAGUUGGUGAGGUAACGGCUCACCAAGACGAUGAUACGUAGCCGACCUGAGAGGGUGAUCGGCCACAUUGGGACUGAGACACGGCCCAAACUCCUACGGGAGGCAGCAGUAGGGAAUCUUCCGCAAUGGACGAAAGUCUGACGGAGCAACGCCGCGUGAGUGAAGAAAAGGUUUUCGGAUCGUAAAACUCUGUUGUCAGAGAAGAACAAGUUGGAGAGUAACUGCUCCAGCCUUGACGGUAUCUGACCAGAAAGCCACGGCUAACUACGUGCCAGCAGCGGC